UACGUAGGGUGCGAGCGUUGUCCGGAAUUAUUGGGCGUAAAGAGCUCGUAGGCGGUUUGUCGCGUCGGCCGUGAAAACUUGGGGCUUAACCCCGAGCCUGCGGUCGAUACGGGCAGACUUGAGUUCGGCAGGGGAGACUGGAAUUCCUGGUGUAGCGGUGAAAUGCGCAGAUAUCAGGAGGAACACCGGUGGCGAAGGCGGGUCUCUGGGCAGUAACUGACGCUGAGGAGCGAAAGCGUGGGGAGCGAACAGG
rnacentral:rRNA from 1 species